rnacentral:rRNA from 1 species
CAGUAGCCACGGUAAUACGAAGGUCCCGAGCGUUGUUCGGAAUCACUGGGCGUAAAGGGAGCGUAGGCGGCGUGGUAAGUCAGAUGUGAAAUCCCUGGGCUCAACCCCGGAACUGCAUCCGAUACUGCCGUGCUAGAGGAUUGGAGAGGUAGCUGGAAUUCUUGGUGUAGCAGUGAAAUGCGUGGAGAUCAAGAGGAACACUCGUGGCGAAAGCGAGCUACUGGACAAUAUCUGACGCUGAGGCUCGAAGGCCAGGGUAGCGAAAGGGAUUAGAUACCCCCGUAGUCCCUGUCUCUUAUAC